UACAGAGGUCCCAAGCGUUGUUCGGAUUCAUUGGGCGUAAAGGGCGCGUAGGCGGGCACGCAAGUCAGGGGUGAAAGCCCACGGCUCAACCGUGGAAGGGCCUUUGAUACUGCGUGUCUGGAGGGAGGUAGGGGCGUGCGGAACUUCCGGUGGAGCGGUGAAAUGCGUAGAUAUCGGGAGGAACACCGGUGGCGAAAGCGGCGCGCUGGGCCUCAUCUGACGCUGAGACGCGAAAGCGCGGGGAGCGAACGGG
rnacentral:rRNA from 1 species